rnacentral:rRNA from 1 species
CACCGGCCGAAUGAAUUGGUGCAAUAUCGAAGUCGAAUAAAAUUCUGGGUAGACUAUGAUAAUGACAUUAUCUAUCUAGAUGUCUUGACCAAACUACGUGCCAGCAGUCGCGGUAAUACGUUAAAGACGAGUGUUAUUCAUGUUUAAUCGGUUUAAAGAGUCCCAAGACUGUUAAUAAAGCCUAACGGGACACAUUAACUAGAGUUAUAUGAAAGGGGGCUGAGAGGUACUGUCGGGUGGAGAGAUAAAAUUCAUUUAUACAGAUGAUGGCACCAACGAAUGCGAAGGCAUCCCCUUAUGUAAUAACUGACGUUUUCAGACGAAGGCUUAGAGAAGAAAAAUGGAUUAGAUACCCUCGUAUUCUAAGCAGAAAAUGAUGAAUGUCAUAGGUUGAAGAUAAAUAAUAUUUAUUUUGGUCUAUAAAUGAAAGUGUAAGCAUUCCACCUCAAGAGUAAUUUGGCAACAUUGGAACUGAAAUCAUUAGGCCGUUUUUGAAACCAGUAGUGAAGUAUGUUGUUUAAUUUGAUAACCCGCACAAAACCUUACCACUAUUUGUAUAAAUAUUUAUAUAUAUAUUUACAAGUGUUGCACGGCUGUCUUCAGUUAAUGUCGUGAGGCAAGGUUACUCCUAACAAUCAACGCAAACCCUUACUUUAUUUUUAUAUAAAGUUGUUCACCUUUCAUGGGAGAUGAUAAUAGGGA